AGAGUUUGAUCAUGGCUCAGAACGAACACUGGCGGCAUGGAUUAGGCAUGCAAGUCGAACGAGAACGUUCCCUUCGGGGAGCUAGUAUAGUGGCGAACGGGUGAGUAACGGGUGGAAAACCUGCCCUUCAAUGGGGGAUAACAGUUCUAACGAGCUGCUAAUACCGCAUACGACCUUCGGUCCGCAUGUUCCGAAGGUGAAAGGUGGCCUCUCUUUGAAGCUGCCGUUGAAGGAUGGUUCCGCCUCCCAUUAGCUUGUUGGUGGGGUAAUGGCCUACCAAGGCGACGAUGGGUAGCCGGCCUGAGAGGGUGUCCGGCCACACUGGGACUGAGAUACGGCCCAGACUCCUACGGGAGGCAGCAGUCGAGAAGCUUCGGCAAUGGGCGAAAGCCUGACCGAGCGAUGCCGCGUGAGUGAAGAAGGCCCUAUGGGUUGUAAAGCUCUGUCAGAUUGGGAAGAAAAUCCUACGGUUAAUACCCGUGGGACUUGACGGUACCAUCAGAGGAAGCACCGGCUAACUCCGUGCCAGCAGCCGCGGUAAUACGGAGGGUGCAAGCGUUGUUCGGAUUCACUGGGUAUAAAGGGUGCGCAGGCGGCCCGAUAAGUCAGGGGUGAAAUAUGACGGCUCAACCGUCAAACUGCCCCUGAAACUGUCAGGCUUGAGUUCGAGAGAGGUAGGUGGAAUUCCAGGUGUAGCGGU
rnacentral:rRNA from 1 species